UACGUAGGGAGCAAGCGUUGUCCGGAAUCAUUGGGCGUAAAGCGCGCGUAGGUGGCUUCGUAAGUCCGUUGUGAAAGUCAAAGGCUCAACCUUUGAAAGCCGAUGGAUACUGCGGAGCUAGAGUACGGAAGAGGCGAGUGGAAUUCCUGGUGUAGCGGUGGAAUGCGCAGAUAUCAGGAGGAACACCGGCGGCGAAGACGGCGAUCUGGGUCGAUACUGACGCUGAGGUGCGAAAGCGUGGGGAGCAAACAGG
rnacentral:rRNA from 1 species